rnacentral:misc_RNA from 1 species
UCUCCGUAGGUGAACCUGCGGAGGGAUCAUUACAGAGUUCUCGCCCUCACGGGUAGAUCUCCCACCCACUGUUAUCGUUACUGUCGUUUCUUUGGCGGGCCGCCGGGUCCCCGGCCGCCGGCGCCUAGCUGCCGGCGCGCGCCCGCCAAAGGCCUUCAAACUCUGAAUGUUAGUGUCGUCUGAGUACUAUAUAAUAGUUAAAACUUUCAACAACGGAUCUCUUAGUUCUG